GCUCGAUAGAAUAGUAAAAGAGGGAGGAAUUGGACAAUGGAGCACGGCCGAUGGUACACCUGGAACCGAGUUCUCUGCUGCUUCGACUACGACAAAAGCCGGUCGGCAAUAGCUGGAUAUAGGAACUGUGCGGAUCAUCAGCAGAAUACAGCCCAUCGCGUAAGCUGUAUGGCUAGAAAGAUACCGCGAGGCUUCGAGAAGCCAUAGAAGUUAUUAAACUGUCAAGUCGCAAGAUUCAACGAACCAAAUGAGACAAAGCUGUCAAAUAUAGGCCAAUGUUGGUAGGCAAUUUUCCCAUGUUCAUGUAUGUUUAAUAACGUAAUGUUACUUAUAUUGCAAUUUCCAAAACCAAAAUAACCAAGUAACUACAAAAAAAAAAAAAUAGAACAAGAGCUUUCCAUUUACUUUUGUACUCAAUGGACUAUUGAAAAUCGAUUGGGAAACAGAUAAAUUGCCAUCAGUCAAUGAUCGAUGUUUGAUUUCAACAAAAUAUACUUUUCAUCAUUCGG